CCGGCUCAGGCACAAGAUAUCACACAAACACAUAGUAAAGCACAGAAGCAGAUGACAAUAAUAUAAAUAAGGCACCCAUACGGACUAUAAAACAGAGGAAAGCAGAGGAAAGCACACAGAUUCGUAAUAAGCAUGGAACACUGAAUACGGAAUCAUAACAGGAAUAAAAAAUAAAAACCCCCACCAAGUAAUACCCUACACUAGCGACCCAAUCUGGCCCUACUCUUCUGCCGUAAUUCGCCUCUUCCAGACCUUCCUAUCUAGGGUCAUGUCCUCGGUGAGCUGUAACUGUUCC
rnacentral:lncRNA from 1 species